UACGUAGGGGGCUAGCGUUGUCCGGAAUUAUUGGGCGUAAAGCGCGUGUAGGCGGCCCGGUAAGUCCGCUGUGAAAGUCGGGGGCUCAACCCUCGAAAGCCGGUGGAUACUGGCGGGCUAGAGUGCGGAAGAGGCGAGUGGAAUUCCUGGUGUAGCGGUGAAAUGCGCAGAUAUCAGGAGGAACACCGAUUGCGAAGGCGACUUCCUGGCCUGUUCUUGACGCUGAGGCGCGAAAGCUAGGGGAGCAAACGGG
rnacentral:rRNA from 1 species